rnacentral:lncRNA from 1 species
CUGGCCCUAAGGCCAAAUUCACUCGUCUUUAGGUGACUAGUUGUCAUAAUCAAGUUCAGCAGACUAUGAUGUUGAGAUUUGUUGUAUUUCUAUAGUAUCAUGUGGGUGUGCUUAAGGCACAAGAAAAAGAUAGUCCUUUUCCUAAAGUGUCUUCAGUGCAGAGGUCUGAUCCUCCUGGGUGCCAAGAGUCCAGUAGUGCUUGUGGAGCUGAUCAGUCACAGGAUGGAUCUGCAGUUACACAAACAGCACGGGUGCAAAAUGUGCCUCCAUCCUGCUUAUCCUGCUGACAACCAUGACACUGGACAUGUCUGGACACUUUUCAAAGCAAGUGAGGCUGCUGGAAGUGCUCCUUUCUCUGAGGAACAGCAUAUCCCACCUGUGAUUUGGAUUUCUCUGUAGAUGCACUUGUAUCACAACUGGUGUAAAGGAACCUUGGCAGAG